AACAACGUAAAACAAGAAGUCAUUUAUCAAGUCCCCCAAGGCAGAGGAGGGCUGAAAAUAACGAACCGCUGUACUUUUAGAGCAAUUCUAAAUGUACGGAGAGCAAGCCAACCCAAUGAAGGAUCACUGCAAGAAACCAAGCGGAGCAGAGGAGUAAGAGAGUCGCAACCACUCGGGUUCUGGGUGAGCAAAGGGAACAUCAGAAGCACACGAAGGGACUGCUCAGGAAGUUGGUGGCUGCUCAGCGACUGUCUAGUGGUCUCAAGUACAGGAAAGGCAAAUGAGGAACCAGGAGGCCGGGACAAAGGAGCCUGUUAUCUGUGCAUUGUGGGGGGCUGGGUGGCAUCAGCCCUAAACUGGCAUAGAGACAGGCAGGAUAAAGGGACCAGAGUUUCAGAUUCUAGCUGGAAGCUAAGGAGGACAGGCCCUCUCCUCCACCGUGGCGGGGGAGUAAACUGGUCCCUCCAGCGUGGAAAGCAUUGGACAGGACCUAACGAAACCACAAAGGAGUCAGAAGAGGACAUUACUUCCUGCCCCCUCCUUUCGUACGUUUUAUCUCUUUUGGUUCUGGCACCAUCUGUGAUGUGGCUAUCACCACCCCACCUGGAGCCAGCAACCCCACCUCUAGCCAUUCAUCCUGCGCCUAUACCUGCACAUGGGUUUCUCAAGUGGCUCAGUGGUAAAGAAUCUGCCCACCAAUGCAGGAGACACUGGAGAUCUGGGUUUAAUCCCUGGGUCGGGAAGAUUCCCUGGGGAAGAACCAGUGACCCAGUCCAGGAUUCAUGCCUGGAGAAUCCCAACGACAGAGGAAGCCGGUGCGCUAUAGUUCAGAGGGUCGCAAAGAGUCAGACACGACGGGGCAUGCACACAUACCUGCACAUGUGUGCAACGAUGAAUUUACACAGCUAUUCACACCAGCACAUUUUUCAUAGUAAGCCUGGAAACACCCUCAAAUGUCCACCAAAAAGGGCCUGGGCAGAUGAGUUACAGUGCGUCUAUAUAAUGGAGAACCACGCAGCAGUGAAGGAGACUGGGAAGAUCUCUAACAUCAACAUCGGCAGAAAAACAAAACUUAGAGCAUGCGAGCUAUUUGUGAAAAAUCAAAAGGGGAGCAAAAGUGAAAAUCCAUACAUGCUAUUCGCUUCUAUCUGCAUUAAGUUUUGA
rnacentral:lncRNA from 1 species